rnacentral:rRNA from 1 species
UACGUAGGGUUCAAGCGUUGUCCGGAAUUAUUGGGCGUAAAGAGCUCGUAGGCGGUCUGUUGCGUCGGCUGUGAAAACCCGGGGCUCAACUCCGGGCCUGCAGCCGAUACGGGCAGACUAGAGUUCGGCAGGGGAGACUGGAAUUCCUGGUGUAGCGGUGAAAUGCGCAGAUAUCAGGAGGAACACCGGUGGCGAAGGCGGGUCUCUGGGCCGAUACUGACGCUGAGGAGCGAAAGCGUGGGGAGCGAACAGG